rfam:Acinetobacter sp. ANC 3813 Contig16, whole genome shotgun sequence.
AAACUGAAGAGUUUGAUCAUGGCUCAGAUUGAACGCUGGCGGCAGGCUUAACACAUGCAAGUCGAGCGGGGUGAUGUAGCUUGCUACAUUA